rnacentral:lncRNA from 1 species
AUGAGGCCUCGGGUGUUACUCGUCACACUGGCUGUUAUCGUCGUCGUCCUUGCAGCUCUGCCACUCAGCAAAGUCCAAUGCCUGGACUUCUCGAUGGUCGGGUGCCACCCAGAGUGCAAGCGGUGCAUCAGGUACACCGCCGACGGUGGCGUCGACAUCCCGCCCGUGCACGCCUACCGCUGCGCCGACAUCCUCGUCAACUUCUGCGAGCGCCGCUGCACUCCCGCCGCAGCUGCUUCUAUGUGUAGCGCUAGACCAAGUAGAAGGAUGCAUGCAUGCCAUGCAUCCUCGUCGAUCUGCAUGCCAUUGCCGGGUGCCGCUUCUGAGAAGAAGCAAAUAAAUGUUGCCGCUGUUGAUGCGUGCUGCCUCUCCUUAAAUAAACUAAUAUUUCUGUAA